AAAGCGUCGGCCAGGCCAGGCGGCCAGGCCAGGCGGAGGAGCGCCGGAGCCGGCGGUAUCCAAGCGAGUGGGAAAACUGGAGCAGCGGAGCCGCGGCAGGGAAAUGCACCUAGCUUUCAGUCUGGCUCCGCUUGAUGGAUAACUCAGAGCUCGAGGAGGCGACCCUGACUCGACCCGGCAGAAAAGAGGAGGUUUCCAUGUCGCUCAGGCUGGCCCCCAUACUAUAUAGCUUUAAAAUGCUGACCCUCCAGUUUCCACCUCCUAAGUGCUAGGAUUACAGCCUGUAGGGUCCAUCAAUGCAUUCCACAUACUCCUGAGUGUGGAGCCAUCUGGUGGGGCAUGGCCAUCUUACAAGGGAGAACACUCUUAAAGAAAGCUGACUCUUCUCCACUAGCGACUGUCAACUAUGAAUAGUCAACUAUGAAUACAUCCUCAGCUAGCGGUGAGGGCUGUGAGCCUCUCCUGGGUCCAUGCUAGAAUGCUGGCUCUCCUGGGUCCAUGCUGGAAUGCUGGCUCUCCUGGGUCCAUGCUGGAAUGUUGGCUCUCCUGGGUCCAUGCUGGAAUGCUGGCUCUCCUGGGUCCAUGCUGGAAUGCUGGCUGGCUGGUCUUGUGCUGGGCAGAGCUGCUGUGAGUUCGAGUUCCAGAGGAUAGAGGAUACCAGUCUAUCACGGAGCUGAAACAGCAGACACAGCAGCAGGAACUGGACGCUGAGAACGGAUAUCCUUUACCAUAAGCACAGAGCAGAAAGAGCCAGCUGCAAGCGGCAGCGGAGAAAUAACCUAUCAGAUGGUGCUGAAACCCGAGAGAAGUUAAGUCCCCAGCGCGAUGGUUUUGGUCUUUCCUGGCCACGUGGGAACCACUUCUGUCCCUCUCUCUUCUCUGCUGGAUACAUCAUUUCUUCGGACUCACGAGUACCCAUCCCUAGAUAUCCUGACUAUCCAGGUCCAGGACCCUCUGAGCUCUUUGCUGAGUUGCGGCCCCGACAGAGUUAGCCCCAUCCGAACAAAGACCAGGCCUUUGUUUUGGGGGAACCCCUGAUAUAGAGACUUCUUAUCUGAGGUUACCGCCCCCACAUAAACCGUUGGGUCGAUCUCAGACUAUACAUUGGGAUGACAAUUCAACAGUAUUGAGAUCUCUGGCAAACGUUGGGAAGAUGGGUGUCACAGGAUCUAAAACAAAAAUGUAUUCCUACGUCCAGUUUUUGGGAAGCUGCGCUCUCCUAAUCUCCCUUCACUGCAUUGAGCACAGGGCUCCAGGAGCCGCCUAGCCACUCCCACCUCUCAUCCCCAUCUCCUUCCCGUCCUCCUGUGGCUCCGUUGUCAGUGGCAGCAGCAGCACCAGCGGUUGUGAUGACUAAGGGUGGCGAGGCACCCAUGUUCCCAGAAGUAAUUCCAAAUAAACUCCUUGGUUCACCAAGG
ensembl:antisense Vax2os ventral anterior homeobox 2, opposite strand